UGACUAUCUGCCCUUUUCCAGAACCAAGGUUGCAACUGACUCUGCCAGAGGACUGGUGGAGACCAAAGCCAAAGGUUUGGGGUGACCUUCCGCUCUCAAGCUGGGCUGGUGUCAGCCACCCCUCUGUUGUGUCACGUGCCACAUGUCUGAACGUUGACACAGAAACCAGGACUAGUUGGUUACAUAACCACAACUGAGAAGCAGGAGGCACAACACAGGUUACCCAUGGGAUUUCAUUUUACUCUUGUAGUCACAGUGCUGAGAAAAAAAC